rnacentral:rRNA from 1 species
UACGAAGGGGGCGAGCGUUGUUCGGAUUUACUGGGCGUAAAGGGCGCGUAGGCGCCUUGUCAGUCAGGCGUGAAAGCCCCGGGCUCAACCUGGGAACGGCGCUUGGGACGGCGAGGCUGGAGUUCGGGAGAGGAGAGUGGAAUUCCCAGUGUAGAGGUGAAAUUCGUAGAUAUUGGGAAGAACACCGGUGGCGAAGGCGGCUCUCUGGACCGACACUGACGCUGAGGCGCGAAAGCGUGGGGAGCAAACAGG